rnacentral:lncRNA from 1 species
AUAAAAUAAGUGAUUAAAAUUUGAAAGAAGACAUACUGCCAAAUUUCCUCAAUGUUGUUGAUGUAAUUAUAAUGACAUUCCCUAUUGACUUCACAUCAAUUAGAUCAGCUUUGUCACCCCAUAAUCUAACUUUCACUUCCUGGUCUCUGUCAACAAAGAGUAAAACAAUUGUGAAGACAUGACAUGAGCAUCUUGGCUGCAAAUAAGAUGUAUUUUUUGGCUUACUCGAUUAGAAGGAAAAUAUCACGGAUUCUAGAGACCCCAAGAUAUGUUUUAGUUUCUUCAAUUGGUCCUAUGUGUGUUGCAACUCCAAUAACAUCUGUUAGCACAUGAAUUUAGAUGGCAUUCUAUACAUGACAUGAAAAAAUAUGGCAUACUGUAUAUAAAAAGUUCAAUGAUAUCAUACCUGAGAGAAAAGUGUCAAUGCUUACUUUUGGGGAGAGUACCUUCAUGCUUGAAAAGUUGAAACCAUACUUUGGAAUGUCUUCAUUAUCUUCAAUUUCCUCUAUAUUUGUUGUGGGAAAGAAGUUGAUCAUCAUAUCAUUUUGUACAGGUCGAAAUUUUGCUGCUGCUGGAAUGACUCUCACAUUUUUAACGAGGUACACAUUGCCUUCUUGAAUAAAUGACCUUAACUUUUCGAUAUAUGCCUUAUUGAUAACUCCAUGCAACAUUGUCCCCUUCAAUUGUAUUUGUAAUUAGCAUGUAGAUUGAAGCUAAAUUAUCAAAAUAAUUCAAGAAAGGAUGCAAUUUCUAUGAGAGAACCAUAAUAACUCUUCAUCAAUAAGGACCAUGUCUAGACUAAGUAUUUCACCAUUACUGACCAGUAUGGAAUCCCAUAGUCUUGAUACUCUUGCCUUGAUUGUUAUUUCCUUUCCUCUAGUGGUAGUAUUGAUCUGACAAAAGGUUUUGUAUGCCAUGAAAGACUUCGUCAUCGAACUGCAAAAUCAAAAAGAUAGUUAGGAAUAUGUAUGACGAUGCUUAUGAGAUUGUUACUUUUACAGGGGAGCUAUUUGUCCAAACCUGUGUGAUUAGAGCUGGUCGGAAACGACGGCAACCCGUUCCUGACGGAAGCGAUGGAAGGGGCUAUCCGCUGCGGACAAUGAGAUAUGUUG